rnacentral:rRNA from 1 species
CCCUGCCCUUUGUACACACCGCCCGUCGCUACUACCGAUUGAAUGGCUUAGUGAGACCUCCGGAUUGGCUUGUGGACGGCGGCAACGCUGACUACUUGCUGAAAAGCUGGUCAAACUUGGUCAUUUAGAGGAAG